rnacentral:rRNA from 1 species
AGUGAACGCUGGCGGUAGGCCUAACACAUGCAAGUCGAACGGCAGCACAGUAAGAGCUUGCUCUUACGGGUGGCGGGUGGCGGACGGGUGAGGAAUACAUCGGAAUCUACUUUUUCGUGGGGGAUAACGUAGGGAAACUUACGCUAAUACCGCAUACGACCUACGGGUGAAAGCAGGGGAUCUUCGGACCUUGCGCGAUUGAAUGAGCCGAUGUCGGAUUAGCUAGUUGGCGGGGUAAAGGCCCACCAAGGCGACGAUCCGUAGCUGGUCUGAGAGGAUGAUCAGCCACACUGGAACUGAGACACGGUCCAGACUCCUACGGGAGGCAGCAGUGGGGAAUAUUGGACAAUGGCCGCAAGCCUGAUCCAGCCAUACCGCGUGGGUGAAGAAGGCCUUCGGGUUGUAAAGCCCUUUUGUUGGGAAAGAAAAGCAGCAGGUUAAUACCCCGCUGUUCUGACGGUACCCAAAGAAUAAGCACCGGCUAACUUCGUG